AUAUUAAGUCCGAGAAGUUGCGAAAAUGAAGAUCUUCAAGGAACGACCGCAGUAUGUUUUUGAUCAAAGAGAAGGAGCGGCGAAAGGGAAUAGACAAGCCUUCCUUUUUACAUUUGUACUUUGUGCUACAACAGGCUUGUGGACAUACUUUAAAAUGUAUAAACCAGUGCAAGACCAGAAAAAACAAAGAGAUAAAUUAGCAGAAGAAAACAAAGGGAAAGCACAAAGCUGAUAACAGUGAAGCCAGUCUCAGGAUGUUUUCAGAGGACAUUCUACAUGAGGCAUAAUACAAAUGUGAUAAAAACUGUGUACAUAUAUCAGGUUGAAUCAUGAACCAUUGUUUUGGGAGUUUCACAUACUGUGAUCAUGCUGUUAGAUGAUUGUUUAAUUGUGACUACACAGAAAUACACAAGACUUUGAACUGUAAAUGGUUAUUAAAUAUCUUUUAUUAUACACCUGAGAAGACUAAGUGGUUAGUGGACUGUGGUGUUGACAGGAAUAUUUUGAAAAGGAAUGAUAGUGAUGUCUUUUUCAAACAAUUUUAUUAAGAUUUCUUUUCUUGUCUUAUUUUGUUCAGUUGAUUAUAUAUGUUACAUUCAGUGGUCAGGUAAUUUGCUCAGGAUAAUGGUAUUUGUGUGUAUAUUUCAAACAUUCUCCAGUUUAAAGAGAUCCCUUCACACAUUUUAGGUGAAAAACAUAAUCAUUUUCUUUAAAAAUUGAUAAAAUGUGGCUUCUGUGGAAGUGAUCAGUGGUACAAACUUACUGGCAUUUGGUGUUUGCAAAAUAUCCUAAUAAACAACCAAAAAAAUAUUUUGCAGGAAAGGAGUAAACUGUUGCAAUACUUGUUGAAGUAAUGGAGAAAAUCAACAUUUUCCUGCAUUUCUACCAAUAACUAUCACUUAAUUUUCAGUCACUGUUGCAUUUUUCAGUAUCAUAUAUACAUACUAUGCCAGAGUUGAUGGAAGUGAAACAUGUUGAAAAAUUGUACCCAAACUGUGGGUUAGUAGCUUUAAAUACUUAUUUAAUCUUUUAGAAACCUGAGAUAUUUGGUUUCUGUUUGUGUAUAUCAAUUUUAAAUAUGUUUUUAAAGUUAUCAUAGAAAGUGUAGCUAGACUUCAUAAUGAUAUUUAUCAUGAAGCUUGUAUUGAUUUAGAUUAAAACCAUGAAAUAAAAAAAAUGAACCUGG
rnacentral:lncRNA from 1 species